rnacentral:rRNA from 1 species
GCGGACGGGUGAGUAACACGUGGAUAACCUACCUAUAAGACUGGGAUAACUUCGGGAAACCGGAGCUAAUACCGGAUAAUAUUUUGAACCGCAUGGUUCAAAAGUGAAAGACGGUCUUGCUGUCACUUAUAGAUGGAUCCGCGCUGCAUUAGCUAGUUGGUAAGGUAACGGCUUACCAAGGCAACGAUGCAUAGCCGACCUGAGAGGGUGAUCGGCCACACUGGAACUGAGACACGGUCCAGACUCCUACGGGAGGCAGCAGUAGGGAAUCUUCCGCAAUGGGCGAAAGCCUGACGGAGCAACGCCGCGUGAGUGAUGAAGGUCUUCGGAUCGUAAAACUCUGUUAUUAGGGAAGAACAUAUGUGUAAGUAACUGUGCACAUCUUGACGGUACCUAAUCAGAAAGCCACGGCUAACUACGUGCCAGCAGCCGCGGUAAUACGUAGGUGGCAAGCGUUAUCCGGAAUUAUUGGGCGUAAAGCGCGCGUAGGCGGUUUUUUAAGUCUGAUGUGAAAGCCCACGGCUCAACCGUGGAGGGUCAUUGGAAACUGGAAAACUUGAGUGCAGAAGAGGAAAGUGGAAUUCCAUGUGUAGCGGUGAAAUGCGCAGAGAUAUGGAGGAACACCAGUGGCGAAGGCGACUUUCUGGUCUGUAACUGACGCUGAUGUGCGAAAGCGUGGGGAUCAAACAGGAUUAGAUACCCUGGUAGUCCACGCCGUAAACGAUGAGUGCUAAGUGUUAGGGGGUUUCCGCCCCUUAGUGCUGCAGCUAACGCAUUAAGCACUCCGCCUGGGGAGUACGACCGCAAGGUUGAAACUCAAAGGAAUUGACGGGGACCCGCACAAGCGGUGGAGCAUGUGGUUUAAUUCGAAGCAACGCGAAGAACCUUACCAAAUCUUGACAUCCUUUGACAACUCUAGAGAUAGAGCUUUCCCCUUCGGGGGACAAAGUGACAGGUGGUGCAUGGUUGUCGUC